rnacentral:rRNA from 1 species
GAACGCUGGCGGCGUGCCUAACACAUGCAAGUCGAGCGAGGAGAUCCUUCGGGAUGAUCCUAGCGGCGGACGGGUGAGUAACACGUGGGCAACCUGCCUCAUAGAGAGGAAUAGCCUUCCGAAAGGGAGAUUAAUACCUCAUAACAUUGCAGUUUCGCAUGGAACAGCAAUUAAAGGAGUAAUCCGCUAUGAGAUGGGGCCCGCGGCGCAUUAGCUAGUUGGUGAGGUAACGGCUCACCAAGGCGACGAUGCGUAGCCGACCUGAGAGGGUGAUCGGCCACAUUGGGACUGAGACACGGCCCAGACUCCUACGGGAGGCAGCAGUGGGGAAUAUUGCACAAUGGGGGAAACCCUGAUGCCAGCAACGCCGCGUGAGUGAUGACGGCCUUCGGGUUGUAAAGCUCUGUCUUCAGGGACGAUAAUGACGGUACCUGAGGAGGAAGCCACGGCUAACUACGUGCCAGCCGCCGC